AUUGUGUUUUCCUAUUUCAUGCAGUCUUGUAUAAAGUAUUUGAGAGCAAUACUUGAGUAACAGUAGACUUAUCUUACCAGAAAAUGACUUUGGUAGAAGUUAAAGUUUUC